CUAUAGCUCAGCUGGGAGAGCGCCUGCUUUGCACGCAGGAGGUCUGCGGUUCGAUCCCGCAUAG
rnacentral:tRNA from 6 species